GACGAACCGUGCGAACGUUAUUCGGAAUCACUGGGCUUAAAGCGCGUGUAGGCGGGCCGCCCCGUCGGCUGCUGAAAUCCCCCGGCUCAACCGGGGAACGGGCACCGAUACGAGCGGCCUCGAGGGGGGUAGGGGGGUCUGGAACUUCCGGUGGAGCGGUGAAAUGCGUAGAGAUCGGAAAGAACACCAACGGCGAAAGCACUCUGCUGGGCCGACACUGACACUGAGAGACGAAAGCUAGGGGAGCGAAUGGG
rnacentral:rRNA from 1 species